ncrna:unclassified sequences IMES-5 RNA
CUUUUAACAAAAUUUAAUUAACUCGAGACGAUUAAACAGAAGUAAAAGAUGAGAAGAAGAAGGGUGAGAAGAACUGAGGAAACUCAGCCACCUGCACGGAGAAAGGUCAAUCGCCUGCAUCAGUAGAACCCACUGAACCCCUUCAACUUCG